CCUGGGAUCCUAAGAUCCUGGUCAUGCUAGAGCGCCUGUCUUUGGAGCCUCCUCUGGGGUCUGUGGGACUGGCUCCAAGUUUCUGUCUAAGGUAGACUGUGGAAGACUGGAAGGAACUGGAGCUUCUGGUCGGGCAGGGUUCCUGCAUCCCUGGAUCCUGCUGCUCCCAGUUACUCCUAGUGGUGUUGGAAUAGAUGUUGUGUUCUCCUAACCCUUGAUCCCAAGAUCCUGGGCAUCCUGCAGUGCCUGAAGGUGGAGCCUUCUCUGGGGGCUGUGGGACUGGCUUCAGAGUUUGUGCCCAAGUUUCAGAUUGCAUCUUUAAGUUCUGAAAUGAGGACGAAGUGAGCAGUUCCCUUGCUGGGUAUGAUGCCCUGCAUCCUCACCUGGUGCUCAUCAGCUGGAGAGAGCAGCUAUCCCCAGCAGCCACAGUUGUCGUUUAUUGAACUGCGGAGCCUGUCAUGGCACUAGUCCAUUUUCCAGAAGCCAUGCAUUCACUUCCUCCACCCCUGCAAUCCUAAGAAGUGGACAUCAGAAGAGAAACAGAAGCUACGUGCUUUCAGUCAGCCCCAUCUCUACACUGAGUAAAUCUUACAAGUGUUCCUGGAUAAGUGAUGGAUGAGAAGAGCCAAGAGGAGCAAGCUGGAGAGACAUCAGAGAAGCAGCCAGAGCUCACCAAAUCAGAGCACCAGAGCAUCUGUGGUUAAGAAAAACAAGUAUGUGAUUAUUUCUGCAAAGAGAUGGUCCAGUGUGACAGUUUGCCUACGUGCUUUCGACCAUCCUUUCCACUUGAAAAACAAAACAAAACCAAAAAGCCAAAA